CAUUUUUUAAUUUUUAUUCAACAGUUUUAAUCUAAAUAGAUUUAUUUUAUAAUUUUUAUUCUGUUUGGAUACACAUCGUAUAACUUUACAAAAUAUAUAAUAAUUUAAAUUUAUAAUUUUAAAAACAAUUUAAUAUAUAAAAUUAAAAUUUUAAAAUGUUAAAAUUCAAAAUUUAAAAUUUUAAAAAUUCAAAAUCUAAAAUUUAAAAUUCAAUAUUCAAAUACAAAAUUUAAAAUUCAAUAUUCAAAUAAAAAUUUAAAAAUUAAAAAUUUUAAUUUAAUUUUAUGUUUAAAAUUCAAAAUUUAAAAUUUAAAAUCUAAAAUUUAAAAUUUAAAAUUGAAAUUAAAUGUUAAAAAUUAAAAUUAAUUGCAAUGAAAUCAAAAGGGAGUGAGAACUUAUUUGAAAAAAAAAAUAGAGACAAAAAAAAA
rnacentral:lncRNA from 1 species